rnacentral:rRNA from 1 species
GCUAGCGGCAGGCCUAACACAUGCAAGUCGAGGGGUAACAGAGGAGCUUGCUCUURCUGACGACCGGCGCACGGSUGCGUAACGCGUAUACAAUCUSCCUUACACUAAGSGAUAGCCCAGAGAAAUUUGGAUUAACACCUUAUAGUUUAUUUUUAUGGCAUCAUUUAAAUAAUAAAGUUUACGGUGUAAGAUGAGUAUGCGUCCCAUUAGUUUGUUGGUAAGGUAACGGCUUACCAAGACUACGAUGSGUAGGGGCCCUGAGAGGGGGAUCCCCCACACUGGUACUGAGACACGGACCAGACUCCUACGGGAGGCAGCAGUGAGGAAUAUUGGACAAUGGAGGAGACUCUGAUCCAGCCAUGCCGCGUGCAGGAAGACGGUCCUAUGGAUUGUAAACUGCUUUUAUACAGGAAGAAUAAGGACUACGUGUAGUCUGGUGACGGUACUGUAAGAAUAAGGACCGGCUAACUCCGUGCCAGCAGCCGCGGUAAUACGGAGGGUCCGARCGUUAUCCGGAAUUAUUGGGUUUAAAGGGUCCGUAGGCGGGCUGUUAAGUCAGGGGUGAAAGUUUGCAGCUCAACUGUAGAAUUGCCUUUGAUACUGAUGGUCUUGAAUUAUUGUGAAGUGGUUAGAAUAUGUAGUGUAGCGGUGAAAUGCAUAGAUAUUACAUAGAAUACCGAUUGCGAAGRCAGAUCACUAACAAUUGAUUGACGCUGAUGGACGAAAGCGUGGGUAGCGAACAGGAUUAGAUA